AUGCAAAAACAGGUCUGCAAUGGUGCAAAAAACGUGGUUACAAAGCACGGAUCCACAUGGAUCCUCAGGAUCUUUGCAUUGGGUCACCCCAAAUUCACCAUCAGAUCACAUAGCAAUGAUCUGAUGCAAAAACAGGGCUGCAAUGGUGCAAAAACGUGGUUACAAAGCACGGAUCCACAUGGAUCCUCAGGAUCUUUGCAUUGGGUCACCCCAAAUUCACCAUCAGAUCACAUAGCAUAUCCAUGGCUACAGCCUGCACCAAAAAAAUCACGCACCCACUGUUGCCUGGGGCUGCAAUGGGUCACCCCAAAUUCACCAUCAGAUCACAUAGCAUAUCCAUGGCUACAGCCUGCACCAAAAAAAUCACGCACCCACUGUUGCCUGGGGCUGCAAUGGUACAAAAACGUGGUUACAAAGCAUGGAUCCACAUGGAUCCUCAGGAUCUUUGCAUUGGGUCACCCCAAAUUCACCAUCAGAUCACAUAGCAUAUCCAUGGCUACAGCCUGCACCAAAAAAAUCACGCACCCACUGUUGCCUGGGGCUGCAAUGGUGCAAAAACGUGGUUACAAAGCACAGAUCCACAUGGAUUCUCAGGAUUUUUGCAUUGGGCUAACCCAAACUCACCGUCAAAUCACAUGUCUGUGGCCACAGCAUGAAGCUCAAAAAUGAUACAUCCACUGUUUCAUUCAGAUAUUUUUUUUCUUGUUUUCCUCCUCUAAAAACUAUGUGCGUGUUAUGGUCAGGUGCGUGUUAUCGAGCGAAAAAUACGGUACACCGGUCCACUUUUAUUUUGCUCCAUGAAGAAAGGACUAUCAAAGGGCAGCCAUAAUCCCUUCACCAUCCCAGCACAUCCACAGGAGCCCUGCCCAGUUGCUAUGCCAACCCUGAUGGUCCCAGACAGAAGACCAUCAAGGUAACAAAGAACUUGCAUAUAGGAGUGGAUUCAACAUGGACUGGAACAAAGGACAAUGAUCAGCUCUUCCCUCUGGGGGCAGGAAACUGCAAACUCCCCUUGUCACAUGGAAAGUACUCAUGGGGAGGGGGAAAGGGGGGAACCGGCCAGGUGGCAGGACACUCAGGUUACCACCACAACUCCUCCCUCAACCCCUCCUUUUUGUGAUGUAUCAGUGAUGUAGUUGUGAUGUAGUUUUAGGGGUGUAGUUUGAGGAAUUAGUAACUAAUAAAAGUUGGGGUCUUCUUUUGUUGUGGGCUUCCAUCUUGUUUCACCUGGUGGCAGGUGGGAGUCCUGUCGCGACAGUUUUCAGUAACGACCAAGCCUACAGGCUGCUGUUUUGCUCUGGUAUUCCUGGCUGCUCUCCUUGUUUUUUGUCCAAGGGAGCCCUCAGAUUUCUUCAUUAACACUGGUCCUGCACCCCCAAAAGCUCCAGGCACAAGACUUUCAUUAGCAUUGAAGGGGCCAUCGGAUACUUGGUGAUCUUUUCUUCAAAAGACAAAUAUUCUGAAUAAUUUUUAAUUGAUGUAUGAUAUAAACAGCACUUCUGUUUUACAUAUUCCACAUUGGAGAGAUUUUGAUACACAGGUCUGAGUUCAUCGCUCCCCCGAAACUGCUGUGUUAGCAGUACUGCCAGCCUGGACAGUGUGUUUGGGGGUCCUGGGCUGCCUAGACAACAAGACCCCCUUCUCAGCCUGGCUUAUAUGGUCCCAACGAAAGCAGAGCAAUACGUUAGGCACCAGCUUGGCUGCAGGAGUUGAAUGAAGAAGAUGUGCAGGACACCAUCCAACUGUCUUAGAGAGUCCACUCUGGAUUUGUGUAAUUUCUCCUCCAUGGCCUUUUCUUCUCCUGAAGAUAACUCACGAGGAAGCGAAGGAGUGCACCAAAGUAUUACGACUAGAGUUUUCCUUCUCGAGGACCUCCCUUCCCAGGUUGAUGAGCCCCAUCUGCCCUUCACUUUCCUCUGCAGCAUGGGCAGAAUCUGCCUUCUUGACUGUGGGAUUCACUGUUGUUCUCAUCCUCUCCAUCCACCAGGGCCUUUCUUCACCUGCAGCAGAAUUCCCCAACCCACCAAGAAUUUGAGACCCAUCAGAUAUCCUCACCUGGUUUAGCCGGUCGGUUGAAGCUGUUCCUGGGAUUGUGGCCCCUAUUCCAUCCUGACAGCUUCUGGAAGCCACAGGUGAGAGCUGAGUGCAGGGUGGGGACCACUGGUGGAUAAAUUACCCCAUAAGGUGCAUGACAUUUCCCCCACCAAAGGUACUACCGCUCCCCUAACACCCCAUGACAUCGUAUGAUUAUGAUCUUUAAGACAGAACAGGAAUAAAUUCAUGUCCCCUUCAAGCCAGUAAUGAAUCAAUACUACAUUUUCAAGAUACUACACAUUCCACUAAGUACAGUUUAUCUAUUUGCCUUGAAUAUCCUGCUUUUCGGUGUCGUUUUAGGAUAGUCCUGCACAAGAUCAGACAGCACAUCGUUCUUUAAAAAAUCAAGCUGCUUUAUUAACAUUGAUUGAAGAUUUUGAAAGUUGCUCAUAAAUUACUAUCAUUUGACAUUGCAACUUCACUUGGGAACAUGGGUAGGAGGUGAGGGAAUGUAGGAGAUGUUGAAAUAGGAGAAGGUGCAAAUGGAGCUUGAUGUGUUCUCUUUCCCUUUGUUCUCUUCCUUGAAACCAAAAUAGGAUUCCCUUUCCUCCCACUCUGAAAAAGGAGAUGGAGAAGACAGUCAGAACUCCAGGGGAUGGGGCACAAUUCCUCCCCAUUAGGGAUAGAAAUUAAAAUGUGUGAAAUGCGGAAUAUGCAUCAUUGAAUGAGCACACAUAGUUCACAUCAACGACCUCCAGCAGGGGAGAAACUGUUUAAAGGUAUGGAGUGUGGGAAACGUUUCGCUGAUAUUAGAAAACUUAGAACAAAUCAGCGGACUCACAUGGGCAGGAAAGGACUGCAAUGCAGGGAGUGUGGGAAGAACUUCAGUCAACAUGGACACUUAAGAUUACAUCAACGGACUCACACAAGGGAAAAAACUUUUAAAUGUCUGGAUUGUGGAAAGAGCUUCUAUCGGAGUGAUAAACUUAGAACACAUCAACAGACUCACACAGGGGAGAAACCAUAUUAUUGUAUGGAGUGCGGAAAGAGCUUCAGUCAGAGUGGACACCUCAAUAUACAUCUACAGACUCACACAGGGGAGAAACCAUAUAAAUGUAUAGAGUG
rnacentral:lncRNA from 1 species